rnacentral:lncRNA from 1 species
CUGGAAUAGUUAAUAUUUUUGUUUUACUUCUAGAUGCGCAAAAUUCGUUCGAAUAUUUUUACUUGCUAUUUGUCAUAGCCUAUACCAAUCGAAUAUAGAAGUUAAAUACGUCUGAAGAAUUCUGCAUUAUAAAAUUUGUUUCCGGAAUAAAACAUUCACCACCUGUUUCUUCUCUUAGGCACCGGUUGUACAGAAUAGCUUUAAUUACUCGCACGGAUUUGUAGCUCUGGCUUUAUCUCAUAUCAUUUCGGAAACUGACAGCUGUCAUUCGUCACUAAAUACAUGCAGCUGUUAGACGCAUAAUCGAACUAGUAAAAAAAAAAAUGCAAAUAGUUGAAGAAAGGGUGACUUAAAGAACAGAUAUGAGCAAAUUUGCGAUCUUACUUUUAUCGUUUGUUUCUAUCUCGCUUGUAUAAUACAUCGCUCUAGUGCAGCUUUCGAUUUGGUGUCUGAUGGUAGUGCACUAUUAGACAAAUAUAACUUGGGAGUUGGGCUUUUAACACCCACGUGGGUAAUAAAGCAAAGCCCAACCUAAUGAUACGUGGCUUACAAUCUGUUUGAUUUAUGACGUCAUUAAAAUAUUGGUGCUUCGGGAUUUUAUCUCUCGCACGAAUUCUUCUUUCUUUGGAUGAAUUGCACGGAAGUAUAUGAUUAAUCUAAUGUGACUUAUACUCUAAUGGGAUAAAGUGAUCGGAGUGCAUAUCAUCGAUACGUAACCUAGACGUUAAGCAUUUUCUUUGAGCAUUUCUCGGAGGUAUUGUCCGAGACUUGAACUAUACCUGUUGUUAUUUAUCGUUGGAGAAACUGUCUAGCGAAAAGGGUGUCGCAGUGAUAUAUAGCAGUAUAGUAUUAUAUUUUUAAGAUCCGCUCGACGGUUGUGUUUUAUUGCCUGUCGUUCGAUUCGGCUUCGCUACUCAUCCUCAAUUUCAACAACGGACGAUGUAAGGGAAUUUUAUUGUUCCCAGCACUCUGUUAGUCAGUUUGCUUUACACGCACACGCCAAUGCUCUCUCUACUCCCUAUGAUAAAUAUUUCACAAGUUUUAGUCUUCCGAAUAGAAACUAGGACAGCUUCUUUUUUAAGGGAAUGUGGUCAUUCCGUAUUCGUCCGGUUUCCUUCAUCUGUAUCUUUUCUUUUCUUCUUUUUUUUUAUUAUUCGUCUACGUGGAGCGAGUUUAGAAAAGGCAUGCGGUUUUCGUCUUUUGUUUCUCUUCUGUCAUGACACUUCAGUAAAAUAUGACUAGGCUAAAAAGGGAAUAUAUGGUUGUAUAAAAACAAUUUAUAUCUAAAAAUAACGAUAAAUACGUUAAUGAUCUUUUGUGUAUUUGAUUCGUGAAGUCAUAGUAUGUUUGAUAUUCGUUUUUUAAAAAUGUAUUAUUUUAAUAUUAAACUCCAUAUUAAGAGUACGAGAGGAAGUUAUUGUAGCUUCCUCUCGUACUCUUGAAUUCUUUUUUUUUUUUUUUUUGUAUCUUUCAAUAAACUUAAAGCUAAAGCUCCUUUUCCGUAGGGAUUGAACACAGAACGGAAAUCACCCUCGUUGUCAAUAUUAUUUUGUCGUGUUGAUUCUAGAAAAGACAUUUCAUUCCUUAUUGUACAUAUUUCCGUUCUACAUAGAAUUAAUAUUUGAAGUUUUGCUUGGCUAGACUACUAUUUCUAAAAAUUGCUUUCACCUAAUGUAAUGAAAAGGAACAUUGCAGUUUCUUAUUUGUUUUGGAAUACUGGAAUUUUAUAAUAGAUUUACUUUUGCUUUGUGAUAUGCUCUGCGUGUGCAAUAG